AUCGCUUCUCGGCCUUUUGGCUAAGAUCAUGUGUAGUAUCUGUUCUUGUCAGCUUAAUAUCUGGCAUGCUGGGCAUUGCCUGGCACCAAUAUUAAACUGAUUUUUGAAUCACGGAUUCGGCAAGGAAGCUUGCUUCAGCCGAUCCACGGAUUGUCCCGGUCUUACACUACCGCCGGGUACGGUCCAUCCCAA